AGUAUCUGUAGAUUUAUUUCUUUAUCUUUAAUUUUACACUGUGUUCAUUCAUUCUUGAAUUAGAAAUAAACGAUCAUAGAUUUUGUAAAAUGCAGGGUAAAGAUAGAAAAUAUAUCCGAAGCUCUACGAAGCAAAUUUACAGACCGUCUAUCAACCCGAAUUUUCUACGUCUAGUUACAUGUAAAGACCUGUAUAUAAGUUUAAUUAUAACAGUUUAUUUGUUCAUUGUUUAUACACGUAUCAGGCAAUGUCAAUAAUAAUAUAACAUGUAAACACAGAAUAUGCAUACACCUGAGACAUCAUAUAUCUAGGGUACCUGCAUGUUGAUGAUCCGUUUCUCUCCUAUCCAGGAUCAAGAACUUUCCAAUCGCUGAAUAAAUAAUCGUACGAUAGAUCGGACACAUCUUGAUGAUGUUGAUGUAAAGUGUCUGCUGGCUUGCAUCACUGACCAGCCAGUGCCGGUUAAAUAUGUACAUACGUUUGCAGCUAGAGAAAAUUCAGUCUGCCUGCAUUUGAGUUAUCGCCGGAGAUAGUUCGAACGGGACUUCGGAAACGAGUAUAAAUGUUUGCAAGGGCUUACAGAAAGAUGCAGAUCAACCUGUAGCGCUUUAAAUUUAUGAAUAAUUUUUUAAAACAUAUCUAAAUUACUCAUUUUGAUCUGAUUUAUUGCUUUUUGUAAAAUCAAACAGCAUCCAGACUGUUCUCUGUACCGAAAAUAUACGCGAUAUGUGACGUCAGCAGGAACGAAGACUCGAGUACAAAGUAAAUGACAGAGGUAAGAAACAUAAAAUUAUGUAUUAUCGGCAGAUCAAUGCUUCCUGCUUUGAUAAAAAAAAAUCAUUCGAAAUUUUGUAAAAUAUAUAAGAAUUCCUUACAAUUAACUGCAUAAUGAUGAUGAAGUUUAUACGUAGUGUGAUGAUGACCAGAGACACAUUGUAUCCUUAGCGUAAAUUAAGCGUAAUAUUAUAGGCUUAUGCAAUAAAAUAUCUGAUAUCUUCUUCAUUGAAGCAUGACAAAAACAUCCCUACACGGAUAUGGAUUUGAUACUAUUUGGAUGGAGGUGUGAACAUCAUGACAUGCCUGAUGGCUGUAUAAAAGAUAAAAAUCCAAAUAAGAGAAAAAAAAAAGAUCCUUCCAUAUUUCUCCAGAGUGUCUUUCCCCAAUUAAUAGCAGGUUCAUAAUUAAAGAACCGUAAGUUUGCACAUGCAGAUUUGCAAAGACACUUUGGAUAAGAUUUCAACAGUGUGACAACCAACAGCGUUCAGGAAACCUCAAAUUCAUGGAUACAAUGGCUAAUCAUUCUUCUAUGAUUAAGAACUGUAUGAUAAUUUGGAUCAAGGUUUAACAUUGAAGCUUAUUUAAGUGAUUUAGACAACCGAUUGGAGCUAUAAUUCAAGUGUUGAUCACUAUUAUCUGUCUUAAUUCUGUCCCUGGACAGUCUCUGUCCCUCUAUGAACUUUCUUCCUUUUCAGAACAACUGAGCCAAUUUUAACCAAACUUGAUACAAAACAUUAUUGGGUGAAGAGGAAUACCAGUUUGUUAAUUUAAAAAGGAAAAGUCACACCUUAUUUUAAUGAAAUUAAAAUGAUAAAAAAUGUGUUGUUAUUUUUUUUUUAAUCUUGAAAACUCAUUGAUCUGAACAGGUGAAUAAUGCUCUUCAAAGUUGUCCAAAUGUUUUGUAUUUGGCAGACUAAGGUAGAUUUGAUACAUCAUGACGAUGCUCAGGUGAGCGAUUCGGCUUAUGUAUUAAAUAAACUCAAAAACUGAAAGCAUAAAAAACAAUAAGGACAUGGACCAGAGUGACAAAGUGAGAAUGGUAGUAUUUGGAUAUGACAUACAGAGAUUUACUGUAUCUGAUCAAAUAUGUUUUAACGAGCAUUGAUCAUGUUACCAACUGCAUGUCAUGUAUCAAUGAAUUUUGUUUAUAUCUGCCAAAUUAUUAAUGCACAUUCAAAAUAGAUACUGGUAUGCCAUUCAGUAAUAGGACAACUUUACGUACACUACAUUUAUUUAUGUAUAUUUUCUUGUUGACUGAUGAAGCAACAAGCCUUUUCGAGAAGUGAAAGAAGAAACAUUUUUCAUUUUGU